rnacentral:misc_RNA from 1 species
UUUAAAUCUCAAUGGUGUAAUCCUUCUUUUUUUAACGAGAAGGAGAUAUCAUUAAAGAAAAAACCAAGAUUACAAACUCCAUAUCUAAAGUCCUCUGACCAAAACAAUUGCACUAACUAAAUAAGGCCAAAAAUGAAAAAGGUCGAAGGCCUCACAUCCAAAACUCAAACCUAGAUUUAGAAAGAAAAUGGGUCAAGGUCCAUACUCCUAACUCGGUUACCAUCACCAAAACAAAGCCUCCUUGUAGACAGAAGAACCAAAGGCGACCACCGAGAUGAUAGAAGCAGACCACUAAGCACAACAACACAUAGGAGCUUCACCUAGAAAGAUGGCACAUACACCAUCAUACCACACCCCCUCAUAAAGAGACCCGCCCUUCGUGGCAACUACUUUGGCUGAAGGGACUAAAGAUGGAGAUGUCCAAAGAAUUCAGAAACAGGCAUGGCAGAGUUUAGCUUUUUGGCUUCUCGUUCUCCUGUAGCCACAUGGAAUUGAAGACCCAGACAGUUCCCUUCCUUAAGAGUACUAGCCAAACGAGAUGACCCAUAGAUCAACAACUAAAACUUUUACCCAGAUCUGAUUUGUAGGAACCUUUGCCAAAGAAAACGCAUAGAUCUGCAACAUCACACAAAGUAGAUCUUCAAAACUAUACACCCCUAAAUCCGAAAAAGAGGAGAGGGAAAUCCUUGUUGCCGGUUGGGAAAUAGCCAUCCCCAACCCCUAAGGGCUAGGAAAUGGCCACUGAAUAGACUGAAGAAAGACUAAGAUGAGGCAUUUUUUCCCUCUCACUUACAAAGGAGAC